UUCUGUAAUUCACUAGCUCAAUCAACUAACGCCACAGAAAAACCCUAGAAAAUGUCGGGCGGGUUUUUCCGGGGUACGUCUUCCGAGCAAGACACUCGAUUCUCAAAUAAGCAAGCGAAGCUGUUGAAAUCGCAGAAGUUUGCCCCAGAAUUGGAGCAUCUGGUUGACAUGACCAAGGUCAAGAUGGAUGUCAUCCGUCCCUGGAUUGCCAAUAGGGUAACUGAACUUCUUGGGUUCGAAGAUGAAGUUCUUAUCAACUUUAUAUAUGGUCUCCUUGAUGGAAAGGAAGUGAAUGGAAAAGAGGUUCAAAUCCCGCUCACUGGAUUCAUGGAGAAAAAUACAGUGAAGUUUAUGAAGGAGCUUUGGACGCUUCUUCUCAGUGCCCAGGGAAAUGCAAGUGGCAUUCCCCAACAGUUCUUGGAUGCCAAAGAGGAAGAAGCCCGAAAGAAAAAGGCUGAGGCUGAUCGGAUAGCAAAUGAAAUUCAGAAGAAGAAAGAGAAUGAAAGCAGAGAACUCGGGCAAGAGAGGUUAAGGAAGAUGGACAAUGGGGUUGAAAUGAAGGCCAACAUUGCAGAUUUGGAGCACACCUCAAGGCAUUUGCCACGGAGGAGUUCCAGCAUUCGUUCUGGGGAUGAUAAAGAAACCAACAGGAGAAAUGGUUUUAGUGGAAGAAGCAGAGAUUCUAGGUCUCCCCAUUCAGUUGAUAAUUCCUUUGCUUCCCAUUGGGCUUCACAAUCUCGAUCGACUAGCAAGUCCCUUUCAUGUUCCAGAAGUGAUUCGAGUGAUAGGCAUAAGUCAAGGAGCAGUUCUAGAUCUCCUGCAACUCGGGGGCGCUCCAUAUCUCCAGAAAGGGUGUUUCAUUCACCUAGAAGACGUUCAAUUCCACCUCGUAGGAGGCACUCACCCUCGAUUUCCCUUUCUCCUCGAAGGAGAUCAUCUUAUUCUAGGCGAAGAUCUAGAUCAAGAUCACGUCAUAGGUCACCUUCCCCAGAAUGGCGUAGAAUACGUUCUCCUUGUAGAGACAUAUCACCUUCCUCGGUGCGGCACCGGUUAUCUUCACCCGUUCGAUGGCGUAGAAGGUCUCCAUCACCUGUCAGGCGUAGAUCUCCUUCAAAUUUGCGGCGUAGAUCUCCUUUGCAUGUCCGACGCAGGUCUCCUUUGUCCCUACGUCCUCGAUCUCCUUCCCCCGUGCGGCAUGGAAGUCCUUCACCCAUUAGACGUAGAUCACCUCGUCCUGCACGGCGUAGGUCACCCAUUCCAACACGCCGUAGAUCGCCCUCUCCUGUACGGCGAAGAUCUACCUCUAGACUGAGACAUUGGAGGUCUCCAUCGAGUCCACUUCGCAGAUCUCCAUCUCUUGUGAGAAACAAAUCUCCUAUUCGUUUUGGCAGGAAAUCACCUGGUCCUUCCCGUCGCAGGUCUCCUUCAGCAUAUGAAUCAAGCUCCCCAUCUCCUAUCCAGAAUGGAUCCCGUUCACCUAUAAGGAGAUCUCCAGUGUACAACAAGAGGUCAACAAAGGAGUCUUUUAGAGAAAAGAUUAGGACUAUGAUGAGGUCACCAGAGAAAGAUCCAAAGGACGAUAGCAAUUUGGGUAAAAAAGCGUUUACUUCGUCAUCUUUUCCAGGUGGAGAUAGAAGGUCCACUCCAUGUGAAAGUACUAGAAGGAAGAUAAUUGAGCAUAUGGUUCAUGAUGACAGCUCAAGUCCACAUAGACGAAGAGAGCAAAAACCCCGUCAUGAAAGUCCCACCACAAGCAACGAGGAAGAAAAUAAUUCUAGGGGUCAUGUUGAUCUUAAAUCUGAGUAUAAACAUCAGAAUCUAUCUUCACAUGCAUCUGAUGUCUGUAAGCAGAUAGAUUCUCCUGUCAAGGUACAUGACAAUGAAGAGAACUCUCCCAAAAGUUUCGCUGGUCAUCGUGUUUCUGAUAAAAUGGAAUCAAGAAAAAAAGAGCAAGAGAAAAGAAGUGAGAAGUCUUCUGGGAAGGUGGUUUAUUCUGAGAGUUCUGACCACCAAAGACCACCAGCACUGUACAAGGACCUUCCGCCAGAGGACAAACAUCGGGUAUCAAUUCCGGAAGACGACCAGUGCUAUAAAUCUCAAACUUUGCUGUUUGAAAAGGCUGAAAAGAAUAAUCGAAAUGGUAGUUAUGAAUCUGGUUCAGAUCAUAGUGGUAAGCACAUAAUUGAGAAAAAGGACAAGAGGAAGCAUAAAAGAUCUGAGAAGCGACAAAUGGCUUCUGACGAUGAUUAUAGCUCUGAUUCUGAUAUUGAGUAUAGGAAGGAAUCGAAGAGGAGGAGGAAGGAAGAAAAGAAGCUACGGAAGGAGGAGAAACGUCAACAGCGUGAGGCGCGGCGCCGUAGAAGGGAACAACGUCGUGCAGAGAAGCUUAAAGCAAAGAAUCAGAAUGAUGAUGAUUCUUCUGAAGGUGAAUAUGUUCGAAGGACAGCUUCUCGUCGAAGUGAUGAUGAGGGGGCAGAGUCAGAGCAAAAGAAACUUGAGAUAGAGUUGCGAAACGGGGCUCUUGAAUCUCUUAAGGCAAAGAAGGGGAUCGAUCACUAACUGUGCUGCUGCAUUUACACAUUAAGAUUUUAUCUUAUCUCGAAUCCCCCCCCCCCCCCCCCAAAAAAAAAAAUUGCUAGAAGUUUUCUUUAAAUCUUAUUAACUAGAUUCUAUUUCUUGGAAUUGAUGUUUUGGAUUUGAGUGUUUUGUACAUAUAGGUAAUUUUUUAAUGUGAUCUGUGUUUACCGCUGGCAGCUGAGAUGGAAAAAAUUGGGAUUUCCCGAGUUCAACUUAAUGCAGAACUUGCUGCUAGAUUUUCUGGCUUGUGCCGUUGGGCGUUUCCGCUAUUUAAACAUCAAAUCAAGUGAUGCUUAUUCUUUCAAGUGAUCUUUUAGAAGAACAGUCACUGUAAAGCACAAUGUGCUUAGUAGCUUUCUUCUCUGUUCUCACUGUAUUUCUGUCUAACAUCUGUGUGGUUGGAGAUAAGGAAUCUGGGGAACUUUUGUUGUAGACCUUCCGCAUGCUGUUUUAGUUCUUUGACUCUGACUUGAUGUCAGUAUCAGCUGUAGCCCUAUGGUGUGAUCACGUAUGUGUAUACUUUGUCUAGAAUAUGACUUCUUCUAGCGAUUUUAAGGUGUUGAUACUUGGCACUGUUGGAUAAGCUAUUGGCUUUAAUCAUC